UCAUAGAGGUGAAAAUCAGUGGUAUUCAGUGAUGUAAGAAUGAUGAAUGAAAUGCGCUGACAGUUUAUUGCUCCUGCCGAAUGAAUUGCACUGAAUGGAGCUGAUCACCACUCCAAGAUGGCCGCCCCGCGUCUCGUCCGCGCCAGUAGGCAGUAGCGCUCCAUGCUAUAUGGACCGCACAGUCUUCACGAUAAAAGCCCUGCUCCAUCCUGCCUGCGCUAUCACAAUAAGAGUCUCGGAAAGCUAGCAAGCUACGGAGUUUGCCGCCAUUGUAUUUCUUGUAAAGUGUAUAAAACGGAGUAUGGAAGCUGGACAAAUAAGAUGGCAAAAAGCAAGCAUUUUCGUAUGGUAUUGGACAAAAAUAAUGAUUUUUUUUUUCCUACAUUUGAAAAUGUGGACCGUUUGAUUCCAAUUAAUGCAAGUCAUUGUCAUCACUAGCAGAUAAGAUAUAUAAGAAGUUCCACACCUGCCGACGACCAGGCUGCCGUCCUCGAUGACGCAGAGACGGAGCGAGCCGUCCGAGGUCAGCAGCCUGGAGGUCCUUGUACACAAAUAUUUGUCCGGGGGGGAGCGGAGGUUAAAGUGCACCGAGGGUGGAGCAACGUCCGAAAAAGGUACGUUUUGUCACAAAAUGUAGGAUUGGCUUUAGUUGAACAACACAUCUUAGGGUACGUUAAAUAUAUGUUUAUUAUUGUAAUUUAGUCCUUAAAUAAAAUAGUGAACAUACUGGACAACUUUGUCUUUUAGUAGUAAGCAAACAAACAUCCAUCCACCCAUCCAUUUCCUACCGCUUAUUCCCUUUUGGAGUCGCGGGGGGCGCUGGCGCCUAUCUCAGCUACAAUCGGGCGGAAGGCGGGGUACACCCUGGACAAGUCGCCACCUCAUCGCAGACAAACAAAGACUCCUAAUUAGUCUAUGCUAGUGGUUCUCAAAUGGGGGUACGCGUCCCCUUGGGGGUACUUGAAGGUACGCCAAGGGGUACGUGAGAUUUUUUUUUUAAAUAGUCUAAAGAAAAGCAACAAUUGUUAGAUUUUUUUGUGGACAUGUCCCAUAAAUAUUGAUGUUAAAGAUUUCUUUUUUUGUGAAAAAUUUUUUAGAAUUUAAUCCAGGUUGAUUUCUAUUACAAUCCCCAAAGAGGGCACUUUAAAGGCCUACUGAAGUGAGAUUUUCUUAUUCAAACAGGGAUAGCAGGUCCAUUCUAUGUGUCAUACUUGAUCAUUUCGCGAUAUUGCCAUAUUUUUGCCAAAGGAUUUAGUAGAGAACGCCGACGAUAAAGUUCGCAACUUUUGGUCGCUAAUAAAAAAGCCUUGCCUGUGCCGGAAGUAGCAAACGAUGUGCGCGUGACGUCACGGGUUGUGGAGCUCCUCACAUCUGAACAUUGUUUACAAUCAUGGCCACCAGCAGCGAGAGCGAUUCGGACCGAGAAAGCGACGAUUUCCCCAUUAAUUUGAGCGAGGAUGAAAGAUUCGUGGAUGAGGAAAGUGAGAGUGAAGGACUAGAAAAAAAGAAAAUUAAAAAAAAGACGAGGGCAGUGGGAGCGAUUCAGAUGUUAUUAGACACAUUUACUAAGAUAAUUUGGGAAAAUCUCUUAUCUGCUUAUGGUGUUACUAGUGUUUUAGUAAGAUUAUAUAGUUGUACCUGAAAGUCGGAGGUGUGUGGCCACGGGUGUGGUGACCGCCAGUGUCUCUGAGGGAAGCCACGUUUCUCGACGAGGCGAAGCCAAGGCAGCCGGUCGGGCCGGGCUGAGCUUUUUUUCCCCCUCCUCCACCGUGGAAGCAACCACGUUCGGGGGCGGCCGGUUGGAGGAGGCAAGAGAGUCCGCAGCUGCCUCUUUGACAGAUGCACGGGGAAUGACACAAACUCCGCUCAUGUCUACAAUAUGAGCCGACAUAUUACCACAAUUUUCUCACAGAAACCUGUCGGUUGACAUGUGGUAGAGAACCAUGUUCGCUUGACCGCUCUGUUCCAUAGGAAAGCUUCACUUUCGGGAAUGUAAACAAUGAAACACCGGCUGUGUUAGUGUUGCUAAAGGCGGCCGCAAUACACCUCUUCCCACCUACAUCUUUCUUCCUUGACGUCUCCAUUAUUAAUUGAACAAAUUGCAAAAGAUUCAGCAACAUAGAUGUCCAGAAUACUGGGUAAUUAUGUG